UGCAAGUCAGGCAUUGUUGUGGUUUAUUUC
rnacentral:piRNA from 1 species